rnacentral:rRNA from 1 species
GACGAACGCUGGCGGCGUGCUUAACACAUGCGAGUCGAACGCUGAAGCUCAGCUUUUGUUGGGUGGAUGAGUGGCGAACGGGUGAGUAACACGUGAGUAACCUGCCCCCUUCUUUGGGAUAACGCCCGGAAACGGGUGCUAAUACUGGAUAUUCACUGGUCUUCGCAUGGGGGUUGGUGGAAAGGGUUUUUCUGGUGGGGGAUGGGCUCGCGGCCUAUCAGCUUGUUGGUGGGGUGAUGGCCUACCAAGGCUUUGACGGGUAGCCGGCCUGAGAGGGUGACCGGUCACAUUGGGACUGAGAUACGGCCCAGACUCCUACGGGAGGCAGCAGUGGGGCCUAUUGCACAAUGGGCGCACGCCUGAUGCAGCGACGCCGCGUGAGGGAUGGAGGCCUUCGGGUUGUGAACCUCUUUCGCUCAUGGUCAAGCCGCAACAAUGGUUGUGGUGAGGGUAGUGGGUAAAGAAGCGCCGGCUAACUACGUG